CAAGUCGCACGAGAAAGCGGGAGCAAUCUCGCAAGUACAGUGGCGUACGGGUGAGUAACACGUGGAUUAUCUGCCCUGGAGUGGGGAAUAACGCUGGGAAACCGGCGCUAAUACCGCAUAUUCCCGAGAGGGGAAAGCAGCAAUGCGCUCGAGGAGGAGUCCGCGGCCGAUUAGCUAGUUGGCAGGGUAAAAGCCUACCAAGGCUGUGAUCGGUAGCCGGCCUGAGAGGGCACACGGCCACACUGGCACUGAAACACGGGCCAGACUCCUACGGGAGGCAGCAGUGGGGAAUCUUGCACAAUGGGGGAAACCCUGAUGCAGCGACGCCGCGUGAGCGAUGAAGCCCUUCGGGGUGUAAAGCUCUUUCGGCAGGGAAGAUUAUGACGGUACCUGCAGAAGCAGCUGCGGCUAACUACGUGCCAGCAGCCGCGGUAAUACGUAGGCAGCAAGCGUUGUUCGGAGUUACUGGGCGUAAAGGGUGUGUAGGCGGCCUGUUAAGUUCCGUGUGAAAUCUCCCGGCUCAACCGGGAGGGUGCGCGGAAAACUGGCGGGCUAGAGUGCGGGAUGGGAGAGUAGAAUUCCUGGUGUAGCGGUGAAAUGCGUAGAUAUCAGGAGGAAUACCGGUGGUGUAGACGGCUCUCUGGACCGCAACUGACGCUGAAACACGAAAGCGUGGGUAGCAAACAGGAUUAGAUACCCUGGUAGUCCACGCCCUAAACGAUGCAUAUUUGGUGUAGGUCAUUCAGUUGAUCUGUGCCGGAGCUAACGCGUUAAUAUGCCGCCUGGGGAGUACAGUCGCAAGG
rnacentral:rRNA from 1 species